AUUGAACGCUGGCGGAAUGCUUUACACAUGCAAGUCGAACGGUAGAGGGGGCAACCCCUCGAGAGUGGCGAACGGGUGAGUAAUAUAUCGGAGCGUGCCCAGUCGUGGGGGAUAACGUAGCGAAAGUUACGCUAAUACCGCAUACGAUCUAAGGAUGAAAGCGGGGGAUCGCAAGACCUCGCGUGAUUGGAGCGGCCGAUAUCAGAUUAGGUAGUUGGUGGGGUAAAGGCUCACCAAGCCAACGAUCUGUAGCUGGUCUGAGAGGACGACCAGCCACACUGGAACUGAGACACGGUCCAGACUCCUACGUGAGGCAGCAGUGGGGAAUUUUGGACAAUGGACGCAAGUCUGAUCCAGCCAUUCCGCGUGCAGGAUGAAGGCCCUCGGGUUGUAAACUGCUUUUGUACGGAACGAAAAGGUCUCUCUUAAUACGGGGGACUCAUGACGGUACCGUAAGAAUAAGCACCGGCUAACUACGUGCCAGCAGCCGCCGUAAAAC
rnacentral:rRNA from 1 species